rnacentral:lncRNA from 1 species
AUUAUUUGCUUAAUAGUAUGAAAUAGAAAUCUAAUUGUGUUAUUUUCCACACAUAUAAGCAGUUUCCCAAUGAAUUUGUUAGCAGUCAACUAGACUACUCUUCCAAAAAGUUCUUCUUGUGAAGAAAAAAAAAAAGACUCAAUACAAUAGAUACAGAUACAGAUGAGGAGGAGAUUGUAGCUUUCAGUAUACAUUUGCAAAACAUGUUCUAGAAUCAAGGUCUUCUUCAUGGAUAUACAUGACCUGUGCAGUUGGAAAGAGUACUAUAUACCUAGAGGGGCCCUGAGAAUAGUUCAAUGUUUUGCUAUUGGCAUAAUGAAAUUCUUAGUAAUUUUUCAACAUGAAGCCCCACUUUUUAUUUUGCACUGGGACCUUACAAAUUAUUUAUGUAGCUAAUUCUGUCAAGGAGACAUUGUCUGGCAACAGUUGUCAUUAGUUUGCUCUUACCACUUUCUGGCUUCUAUUGAUUGAGUUUUUACAGAAUUAAGGACAUAUAUCUGCUCUUCUUUUUAAGAAAAGAUUCUACUUUUUGCUUUUGUUUUCUAAAAUUAAAAAUUUCAGCUGGCCCUCCAGAUAAAAAGGAUCAAAUACAAUUCAUAUGUUGGCUUUAGUGAAAAACGGCAGAUUACUAUGUGAUUUAUAUUGCUAUAAAUAAGUGAUAAAAAUUAUCAAAUCAAAAUUAGACUCUAGUAAUAAAUUGUAUAACCAUUAGAAAAUGAAUCAAUCAAUAAAUAUUGAUAAAUAAAGGAUGAGAUAGAGAAGGCAAGUGGUGACUAUUAAACGUGAAGUAAGAUUAUUGGCACUUAACUAUUUUCUCAGCCUACAUUGACUGAUUUUUUUUUCCUCCCUGUUGAAAUCCACCAAUUAGCAAUAUAGUGAAUCUGAUAACCUUCAAAACUGCAAAAGCUCUCUAGCAGAGACCUAUGACCUGAACUUUGCUUUUCUAUCUACAUCUAGCUGAGAUCAAUAAACACUGAGUAACUGGGAAUUGAGGUUAGUGAGGAAAAAGGAAGGGAAGUGAUUUGAUUCCCAAGAGAAGAAUAUAGGUUCUCAGCACAGUGAGAUUCUCUGAACAGUAUAAAUGCAUCCCCAUCUUACAGCUGAAAGUCUGGAAAGUCAUGAUAGGAAUGCGCCUACCCCACUUUAAUUGCAUGUGCCUGCAAGGAUGGAUACUUUUGGGUUUGAAAAUAACAUACUUCAUUUCUCAUAAAGAUGGACAUAGGUAAGCAGGGGGAAAAUAGAUUGAAAGGGGGAAAAUAGAUUGAAAGGUUUGGGGUGAGAAACAUAAGAGAGAGUGGAAGCUGGGAAAGUUUGUAACCAUAAGAGUGCCUGCAUUUGAGCAGAUACCAGAGGCAGAAAAGCAAGAGCUUCCCUCCAGUGAGUUCUGAGUGAUUCUGGGAAGUAGAGCAGACUGGGAUUCAGCUCAUAUAUGAGAGAUUACCUGAUAUAAUUCUAAACAAGGACAUAUAUUCUCAAACUUUAAUUUAUUUACUUGAUAUCAUUGUCCAAUGCUUAGCUAGAAAAGUGACAGAAAGAUUCAAGGGACAUAAAUUAGUUAAUUAAAUCUUCAUUAUUUUUUAAACCAGUAGAGGGACCCAUUUCUCAUCAAAAUAAUUUUUUAUUUCUCCAUCUUUGGAAGUCAUUUUUGCUAACCAUACUUGAUUCCAGCCAUUUUAAAUUAUCCCUAGUGGUGUUUGGGGCUCUACAAAAAUGAUGAUGAUAAGGGCUAUGAUCAAAAGGAGGAGUAUCUAAGACAAAGUCUUGGGGCAGGAGCCACUGGGAUAGAAAAAUGAAACUAAAAAAGAAAACCGAAAAGUAGCUGGAAGCAGGGUAUAUGUGUGUAGGGUGGCUUAAGAAGGACAGGUGGCAAGACAUUUUUUUAAAAAGAUGAAAUGAACUAUAAGCCAAUUUGAGAGUCAUUAUGAUUAUCAGGAAAUCAAAGAAAAGGAGAUCCAAGGAUAGAAGAUUCAUGGGAUGGCUCUGCCAUGGGCCUGAGGUCUGUGGAGAUAACAUUUCCUCUCCUUCGAAAGGAGGUUAGAAUAGAGAUAUCUACUUUACUAGGAGAAAAGCAGAGAAAGAUGAGAAGGAAUGAAAUAGUUAUCAUAACAGGCAUCUUAAGAUGUAAAUUAUUUUAUUCCUUCUAAGGUAGGACAGUAUAUUUCCACCUAUAGGUCAAAAUCCAAUACUAAAAUGCAAAAUCAAUUUAGUAGUGAGUGACCAACACUUAAAAACAAAAACAAAACAAGAAAAAACCCAACAAAUAAAAAGAUAAUAUAAUAGAAGUAAAUGGAAAUGAAAUAAAAUAGAAUUAAAAACUAUCAUCAUGCACUGAUGAAAAUAUGAAAAUAAAAAUUAAUUUAUGAUAAUAUUUUAUCAAUAUUAUAUGUAUAUCUAUUAAAACAUUUCUUAUUGAUAAUAGGAGUAAAAUAUAUUUUAAAUAUAGACUCAAGAAAGCCUCUAAGUUUUCUUCUAACUCUAUGUUGUUUAGAUCACUGAAUUCCUGAGGACAGGGAGAGCUUAUUUCAGGAGACUGGAAGAAGGGCAAAAAUAGGGAAAGCAGAAGAUUUCAAAAAUAUCCUACAUACACAAGAUAGAAAAAUGGUGUUAUAGUGACAUAGAACUUUGUGUGUAGUUUUUUAAAAACUUUUCAAGCAUUGUUUUUAGUUAAUCCGAUCAGGAUAUGCACUUAUUUCAGAGUAACUUAAACUUUUUAGAUUUAUUUGUUAAGAGAAGCAGUUAGAUUUUUGAAUAAAGGGAAACAGAAAAAGAUAAAGCAAAAUUUGAAACUUUUAUUUAAUCCACAGCAGAGAGCAGCUACCUACUAAACUUAUUAACCUAGAAAGAAGACAUUCCAACUAUUAUAUUCUUACCAUCCAUUAAAUUGAAUUUGUAAGGGAGUAAUAGAAGGCUGCUGGUUAAACCAAAAAUUUGUGAAAGCAGUAAAACUAAAUAAGCUUUUGCUAAAAUAUUAUAUACAAUUCAUGAGCAUUUAUGUUUCACUGUACAAAUGUUAAUCCUAAACUCAGACACUGUCUCACCGAAUGAGGUAAAACUGAAGCUUGUUAAAACCCAGACAGUGCAGCUGAACCAAGGAAAUGGGGGAAAGUAUAAACAAAUCAAAUGCUUAAACUUGAAAUGAAGACGUGUCAACAUAAACAUAACUGUACUUCUCAUUUUCCUCACAUGUAAUACUGGCAACACAACGGGAGCCAGUUUUGCGUCGUGUAAACUGAGCAGUGGUAUUUCAUUCUAUUUCGGAACCUAGCAAUUAGAUGCUCUCUUAGAAUUACUGAAGAGUGUGAACAUUCAUAUUUUUACAUUUCCAUAUGUAUUUUUCCCAUGCCAGAAAGUGCUAGUUAUGUUUUCUUAAAUAUCUGUAUCUACAAUAACAGCAACAACAAUAAAAAAAAGCUAGGGAAUGUAUCAAUUAUCUUUUGCUGUGCAACAGACCACCCCAAAACUUAUUGGCUUAAAACAACAAGUAUUUAUUAUUUUCACAAUUCUUUAGAUUGCUUAGACAGUUUUUUUUUUCUGUCUAUACAGGCUCAGCCAAGGCUAAAUGGUCUAGAAUCAUCUCAAUCAUAUCUGACAGUUGGCAAGUUGAUUAGUCUGUAAAGUCCUCAUUUAAAAAGUUUUGUCAUCCUCCAGGGAUACUCAGGUGUCUGCACAUGGAGCAUCAAGAUUCAAUGAGCCAUAAGAGAGCAAGAUCUAGUGCAUAAAUGCUUUAAAUCUCUAUUAGCAUCACACUUGUUAAUAUUCCAUUGGUCAAAGCAAGUCAUAUGGAUAAGCCACAAAUCAAAGGGUGGAAGAUAGAUUCUACUUCUUGAUGGAAGAAUUGCAAGUUGGAGGAGAUACAAAAAGUUACAUUGCAAAAGUUAGCUCUAAUGAGCAUAAAGGGAAGAAACCUGUGAUAGAAAAGGAGGCCUCUGUCAUACCCAUAUUCAUUUUCAAUGGAGUGUUUUGGGCUUUGCGUAAGUACAAAUAUAAGUGUGAGAUUGGACCUCCUAAUACAGUCAAAUGCUCACAGUGUACAGUGUAGCAGCUAAUAACAGCUCAAAAUCUAGAGUCAUCUCCUCUAUCUGAAUUCUAGUUUCGCCCCUUGUGAACUGGAUCAUUGUGGGCAACUAAGUGUUUAACUACUUAAAAUCAACUUUCUAAUCAGUAAAGUUGUAAUAAUAAUAGUAAAAUCAGCAUGGUUUGGGAAAGAUUAACAUAUGUAACAUAAUAGCAUAUUUUAUUAGCUAUUAUUUGUAUUAUUAUGGUUGUUAAUUUUACUCUGGAAGACAAUGGGAGAGUUAUUCUUACCCCUCAUUGACCAUAAACAACAACUGAACAUAAACAUUAUUACAUGUAUAUCGUCCAUACAUGUAAACACUGAGAUGAGACUCAAUGCAAAAUAUAUUUCCAUAUACUAAAAUAUCACAAAUAUCCCUAACAUUUAAAAUAAUUCAGAAGACCAAUUUCAGAAGACCCUUCCUAAAUGGACAUGUGCUUUGAUUUCCAGUCCUAAUGAUCUGGUAGCUUUUCAGGUAUUUGUUAUUAAGAUUGGUAAAUAAUACUAUUCCUUCCAAGGUAAAAUUAGAUGAGCCAGAGUCUGGAGGGUUAUCUUUCAUAAGGUUUAUUAUAAAGUUAUUUAUUUUAUAUGUAUUCUACAUAGGGAAG